UACAGAGGUCCCGAGUGUUGUUCGGAUUUAUUGGGCGUAAAGGGUGCGUAGGCGGCGGAGUAAGUUGGGUGUGAAAUCCCGGGGCUUAACCUCGGAAUUGCAUUCAAUACUGCUUCGCUUGAGUACUGGAGAGGAGGCUGGAAUUUACGGUGUAGCAGUGAAAUGCGUAGAUAUCGUAAGGAAGGCCGGUGGCGAAAGCGAGCCUCUGGACAGUUACUGACGCUGAUGCACGAAGGCCAGGGGAGCAAACGGG
rnacentral:rRNA from 1 species